GGGGAAUCUUCCGCAAUGGACGAAAGUCUGACGGAGCAACGCCGCGUGAGUGAUGACGGCCUUCGGGUUGUAAAGCUCUGUUAAUCGGGACGAAAGGCCUUCUUGCGAAUAGUUAGAAGGAUUGACGGUACCGGAAUAGAAAGCCACGGCUAACUACGUGCCAGCAGCCGCGGUAAUACGUAGGUGGCAAGCGUUGUCCGGAAUUAUUGGGCGUAAAGCGCGCGCAGGCGGAUUGGUCAGUCUGUCUUAAAAGUUCGGGGCUUAACCCCGUGAUGGGAUGGAAACUGCCAAUCUAGAGUAUCGGAGAGGAAAGUGGAAUUCCUAGUGUAGCGGUGAAAUGCGUAGAUAUUAGGAAGAACACCAGUGGCGAAGGCGACUUUCUGGACGAAAACUGACGCUGAGGCGCGAAAGCCAGGGGAGCGAACGGGAUUAGAUACCCCGGUAGUCCUGGCCGUAGACGAUGGGUACUAGGUGUAGGAGGUAUCGACCCCUUCUGUGCCGGAGUUAACGCAAUAAGUACCCCGCCUGGGGAGUACGACCGCAAGGUUG
rnacentral:rRNA from 1 species